UUAAGCGACUAAGCGUACACGGUGGAUGCCCUGGCAGUCAGAGGCGAUGAAGGACGUGCUAAUCUGCGAUAAGCGUCGGUAAGGUGAUAUGAACCGUUAUAACCGGCGAUUUCCGAAUGGGGAAACCCAGUGUGAUUCGUCACACUAUCAUUAACUGAAUCCAUAGGUUAAUGAGGCGAACCGGGGGAACUGAAACAUCUAAGUACCCCGAGGAAAAGAAAUCAACCGAGAUUCCCCCAGUAGCGGCGAGCGAACGGGGAGCAGCCCAGAGCCUGAAUCAGUGUGUGUGUUAGUGGAAGCGUCUGGAAAGGCGUGCGAUACAGGGUGACAGCCCCGUACACAAAAAUGCACAUGCUGUGAGCUCGAUGAGUAGGGCGGGACACGUGGUAUCCUGUCUGAAUAUGGGGGGACCAUCCUCCAAGGCUAAAUACUCCUGACUGACCGAUAGUGAACCAGUACCGUGAGGGAAAGGCGAAAAGAACCCCGGCGAGGGGAGUGAAAAAGAACCUGAAACCGUGUACGUACAAGCAGUGGGAGCACAGAGCAAUCUGUGUGACUGCGUACCUUUUGUAUAAUGGGUCAGCGACUUAUAUUCUGUAGCAAGGUUAACCGAAUAGGGGAGCCGAAGGGAAACCGAGUCUUAACUGGGCGUUAAGUUGCAGGGUAUAGACCCGAAACCCGGUGAUCUAGCCAUGGGCAGGUUGAAGGUUGGGUAACACUAACUGGAGGACCGAACCGACUAAUGUUGAAAAAUUAGCGGAUGACUUGUGGCUGGGGGUGAAAGGCCAAUCAAACCGGGAGAUAGCUGGUUCUCCCCGAAAGCUAUUUAGGUAGCGCCUCGUGAAUUCAUCUCCGGGGGUAGAGCACUGUUUCGGCAAGGGGGUCAUCCCGACUUACCAACCCGAUGCAAACUGCGAAUACCGGAGAAUGUUAUCACGGGAGACACACGGCGGGUGCUAACGUCCGUCGUGAAGAGGGAAACAACCCAGACCGCCAGCUAAGGUCCCAAAGUCAUGGUUAAGUGGGAAACGAUGUGGGAAGGCCCAGACAGCCAGGAUGUUGGCUUAGAAGCAGCCAUCAUUUAAAGAAAGCGUAAUAGCUCACUGGUCGAGUCGGCCUGCGCGGAAGAUGUAACGGGGCUAAACCAUGCACCGAAGCUGCGGCAGCGACGCUUAUGCGUUGUUGGGUAGGGGAGCGUUCUGUAAGCCUGCGAAGGUGUGCUGUGAGGCAUGCUGGAGGUAUCAGAAGUGCGAAUGCUGACAUAAGUAACGAUAAAGCGGGUGAAAAGCCCGCUCGCCGGAAGACCAAGGGUUCCUGUCCAACGUUAAUCGGGGCAGGGUGAGUCGACCCCUAAGGCGAGGCCGAAAGGCGUAGUCGAUGGGAAACAGGUUAAUAUUCCUGUACUUGGUGUUACUGCGAAGGGGGGACGGAGAAGGCUAUGUUGGCCGGGCGACGGUUGUCCCGGUUUAAGCGUGUAGGCUGGUUUUCCAGGCAAAUCCGGAAAACUAAGGCUGAGGCGUGAUGACGAGGCACUACGGUGCUGAAGCAACAAAUGCCCUGCUUCCAGGAAAAGCCUCUAAGCAUCAGGUAACAUCAAAUCGUACCCCAAACCGACACAGGUGGUCAGGUAGAGAAUACCAAGGCGCUUGAGAGAACUCGGGUGAAGGAACUAGGCAAAAUGGUGCCGUAACUUCGGGAGAAGGCACGCUGAUAUGUAGGUGAAGCGACUUGCUCGUGGAGCUGAAAUCAGUCGAAGAUACCAGCUGGCUGCAACUGUUUAUUAAAAACACAGCACUGUGCAAACACGAAAGUGGACGUAUACGGUGUGACGCCUGCCCGGUGCCGGAAGGUUAAUUGAUGGGGUCAGCGCAAGCGAAGCUCUUGAUCGAAGCCCCGGUAAACGGCGGCCGUAACUAUAACGGUCCUAAGGUAGCGAAAUUCCUUGUCGGGUAAGUUCCGACCUGCACGAAUGGCGUAAUGAUGGCCAGGCUGUCUCCACCCGAGACUCAGUGAAAUUGAACUCGCUGUGAAGAUGCAGUGUACCCGCGGCAAGACGGAAAGACCCCGUGAACCUUUACUAUAGCUUGACACUGAACAUUGAGCCUUGAUGUGUAGGAUAGGUGGGAGGCUUUGAAGUGUGGACGCCAGUCUGCAUGGAGCCGACCUUGAAAUACCACCCUUUAAUGUUUGAUGUUCUAACGUUGACCCGUGAUCCGGGUUGCGGACAGUGUCUGGUGGGUAGUUUGACUGGGGCGGUCUCCUCCUAAAGAGUAACGGAGGAGCACGAAGGUUGGCUAAUCCUGGUCGGACAUCAGGAGGUUAGUGCAAUGGCAUAAGCCAGCUUGACUGCGAGCGUGACGGCGCGAGCAGGUGCGAAAGCAGGUCAUAGUGAUCCGGUGGUUCUGAAUGGAAGGGCCAUCGCUCAACGGAUAAAAGGUACUCCGGGGAUAACAGGCUGAUACCGCCCAAGAGUUCAUAUCGACGGCGGUGUUUGGCACCUCGAUGUCGGCUCAUCACAUCCUGGGGCUGAAGUAGGUCCCAAGGGUAUGGCUGUUCGCCAUUUAAAGUGGUACGCGAGCUGGGUUUAGAACGUCGUGAGACAGUUCGGUCCCUAUCUGCCGUGGGCGCUGGAGAACUGAGGGGGGCUGCUCCUAGUACGAGAGGACCGGAGUGGACGCAUCACUGGUGUUCGGGUUGUCAUGCCAAUGGCACUGCCCGGUAGCUAAAUGCGGAAGAGAUAAGUGCUGAAAGCAUCUAAGCACGAAACUUGCCCCGAGAUGAGUUCUCCCUGACUCCUUGAGAGUCCUGAAGGAACGUUGAAGACGACGACGUUGAUAGGCCGGGUGUGUAAGCGCAGCGAUGCGUUGAGCUAACCGGUACUAAUGAACCGUGAGGCUUAACCU
rnacentral:rRNA from 1 species